rnacentral:rRNA from 1 species
GCGUAUGCAAUCUACCUACAACAGGGGGAUAGCCCAGAGAAAUCUGGAUUAAUACCCCAUAAAACAGGGAUACCGCAUGGUAAUAUUUGUUAAAGAUUUAAUCGGUUGUAGAUGAGCAUGCGUCCCAUUAGCUAGUAGGUGAGGUAAUAGCUCACCUAGGCAAUGAUGGGUAGGGGUUCUGAGAGGAUGAUCCCCCACACUGGUACUGAGAUACGGACCAGACUCCUACGGGAGGCAGCAGUAGGGAAUAUUGGGCAAUGGGCGAAAGCCUGACCCAGCCAUGCCGCGUGCAGGAAGACG